GCACCCGUAGCUCAGUCGGAUAGAGCGGCCCCCUCCUAAGGGGCAGGCCACAGGUUCGAUUCCUGUCGGGUGCACCA
rnacentral:tRNA from 3 species